rnacentral:rRNA from 1 species
GUACACUCCUGCGGGAGGCAGCAGUGGGGAAUAUUGCACAAUGGGCGCAAGCCUGAUGCAGCCAUGCCGCGUGUAUGAAGAAGGCCUUCGGGUUGUAAAGUACUUUCAGCGGGGAGGAAGGCGAUAAGGUUAAUAACCUUGUUGAUUGACGUUACCCGCAGAAGAAGCACCGGCUAACUCCGUGCCAGCAGCCGCGGUAAUACGGAGGGUGCAAGCGUUAAUCGGAAUUACUGGGCGUAAAGCGCACGCAGGCGGUCUGUCAAGUCGGAUGUGAAAUCCCCGGGCUCAACCUGGGAACUGCAUUCGAAACUGGCAGGCUAGAGUCUUGUAGAGGGGGGUAGAAUUCCAGGUGUAGCGGUGAAAUGCGUAGAGUUCUGGAGGAAUACCGGUGGCGAAGGCGGCCCCCUGGACAAAGACUGACGCUCAGGUGCGAAAGCGUGGGGAGCAAACAGGAUUAGAAACCCCUGUAGUCCCAUGA